AGAUUACGCGAGGGGUGCUUGCCUAGCUGAGAUUAAGCGUAAGCUUAAAACCCUUUAAACCUGUUAAGUUAAGACUUGCGAAGGGACGUGUACACAGCUAAAG
rnacentral:ncRNA from 2 species